rnacentral:rRNA from 1 species
UACGUAGGGGGCAAGCGUUGUCCGGAAUCAUUGGGCGUAAAGCGCGCGUAGGCGGCUCGAUCAGUCUGCUGUAAAAGUCAAAGGCUCAACCUUUGAAUGCCGGUGGAUACUGUGAGGCUAGAGUACGGAAGAGGCGAGUGGAAUUCCUGGUGUAGCGGUGAAAUGCGCAGAUAUCAGGAGGAACACCCGUGGCGAAAGCGGCUCUCUGGGACGGUACUGACGCUGAGACGCGAAAGCGUGGGGAGCAAACAGG